GUGAUCAUAUCAAUACUACUGCACCAAAUCCCAUCAGAACGUCGCAGGUAAGCGUGCUUAGGCGACAGUAGUACUAGGAUGUGUGACCCUCUGGAAAGUCCUCGUGUUGCACCCC